UUGUAUCACCUCACAGCAUGCUACCCUUUUUUAUAAAGAAGAUGUAUUUCAUUGUGUUUUCUAUUUUACUCAAAACAUAGACGACACCGAGAUGAGAGACAUGUUUCUCUUCCUUUGCUUCUUCGUAUUCCCUCUAACAUCGGCCAUUCAUAAAACAAGGAACUCCAUGUUUGGCCAUUCACUCCUUGCAUCUCCCUACAACGAGACGGGUGUUGGGGAACUUUGUGGAUGCUACAAACUCUGCUAUGACGACAAAGAAAACUGCGCCAGCAUCAACUACGACAUGAAAAUAGGGAGAUGCAAACGCAUGACGGUCACACACGUAAACCUGCCUCGCGAACUCGUGAAAAUGGAAAACUCAGUUUACGCGGAUAUAAGAGAUGAUAAGUAUACCAAAAAAUGAUCCGGACAUACGGCUAGUUAAGAUAAAUAAUUACUCCUCGAUUUCGGAUGGGCGCUAAAUUAAUAGCUACUGACGAAGUCGCGAAUAACACUUAAGAAGUUAAACCACAAAAGCAGGUCAAGCUACAAAGCCAAGAACUGGUUUUUGUUUCCGGCAAAUCCGGCACUUUUUGCUACAUCAGAUUGGAGCUAACUGGAGCAAACGCCGGAAACUGAUCUGGGCACACGAAUUGAAUUAAUAAUAGCUAUUGAGAUCAUACGAAGGCAAAGAAAUAAUUCCUGUAGUCAAACCACAGUAGGUGAAGUUGCUGUAUAAACAAAAACAUAAACAAAAACUUAAAGUGCAUUAUUUAUGAUAGUUAACUAGGUUGGCGUCACUAGUUGAAAAUACUUCCUUUUAUUCAAGCAGAUCGUUCUUCGGGUUGAAAAAAGCUCCACAUCAUUUUCGGGAUGUGAUGCCGAGGAUGAGUUUGCAAACAAAAUUUGUGUCCAAAAAUGAUUCUUUCGAUUCUUCCUUACAAAUGUCCUUUGAACUUUUACAGGUUGUGCUAACAAACCCCACCCUCUUGGGAUUGAAGAUGGCAGCAUUCCAGACUCUAGUAUCACGGCUUCAUCAACAUGGGUUUGUGCCUUUGGUUGCAACUCUUACAACGCACGCCUAAAUAACCAGCCAGUGAGUGGUCAACACAUAGGCGCAUGGGUAGCCGGGCAUAGAAAAAAAGGCGAGUAUCUACAGGUGGACCUGGGCCAAGUCACGUGGAUUACCCAUUUAGCAACGCAGGGGCGCCCUCAACAAUAUGACCAAUGGGUGACUGAGUACAGUGUGGAGUACAGUCUGAGGGGAGAUCAGUGGCGGAGUUACCAAGACGGGAAUGGUGUGACUAAGGUGUUCCCUGGCAACUCAGAUCAGACAACUGUGGUGAAGAACGAGUUCUCCCCUGUCAUCAAGGCGCGUUACGUCAGGAUUGUAGCACAUGCUUGGUACAAUUAUAUCGCUAUGAGAGCGGAGCUUUACGGAUGUGCAGCUUGACUUACUUAGUUAGGUAUCUUUGCAUUGGACUUUUAUAAUUUAAGAGUUUCUUUGGUGGAUUAGUCUACUGUGCAGCCAUUCUUAGUGUCAGGCUCCAGUGGAUUUGAGAGUGACACAAGGAUAGAUGCGCGGGGACUAUUGAUGGAGGGGUUAUAGAGACACAAUAAAUUAAAUUUCCAGUUGAUUGGUGGCCUUUCUUGGUAAACCUUUGAGAUGUGGGCACUCUUAUAUGCGGGUCAAGUAUGGAAUGUGAUAUUCUCCUUAAAAUAAAAAAAGACCAAUAAAGGAGUUUAAGUUAAAGUAGCCCACGUACAUCACUAUUGCAAAGUAGUUACUAAACGAGGUCAACUCUACCGCAACACGAUUAUAGAAUUAAAUUAAUUAGAAAGCAAACCAGAAAUAAACUGUAUUUACUUGAAACUGCUAUUGAAAAUCGAGAUAUUAAAGUUUACAUCCUACAAAGGAUUCUAGAGAAAGAGCCCGCUUUAGAGACAUGAUGCAGAUUGAUUUUGAUAGAUAGGAAUGAUGGUAAAUUAUUCACGUCAAUGUUAGCGAUCAGUAAAGGAACAUUACCAAAAUAAAAUAGCUCUUCGGCGUCUUAUCUUAAUAUAAUCUUUGCAUUUGUAAACAUAAUAGAUCAGAGUCUCCAAUAAAAGAGAAUCAGACUAAAGACAAAGACAAAA